AGCGAACGCUGGCGGCAGGCCUAACACAUGCAAGUCGAGCGCCCAGCAAUGGGAGCGGCAGACGGGUGAGUAACGCGUGGGGAUCUGCCCAAUGGUACGGAAUAACCCAGGGAAACUUGGACUAAUACCGUAUGUGCCCUUCGGGGGAAAGAUUUAUCGCCAUUGGAUGAACCCGCGUCGGAUUAGCUAGUUGGUGAGGUAAAGGCUCACCAAGGCGACGAUCCGUAGCUGGUCUGAGAGGAUGAUCAGCCACACUGGGACUGAGACACGGCCCAGACUCCUACGGGAGGCAGCAGUGGGGAAUAUUGGACAAUGGGCGCAAGCCUGAUCCAGCCAUGCCGCGUGAGUGAUGAAGGCCUUAGGGUUGUAAAGCUCUUUCACCGGAGAAGAUAAUGACGGUAUUCGGAGAAGAAGCCCCGGCUAACUUCGUGCCAGCCGCCGCGGUAA
rnacentral:rRNA from 1 species